CCGGAUAGGACCGCACCGUGAGGGUGUGGUGGAAAGUUUUUCGGUGUGGGAUGGGCCCGCGGCCUAUCAGCUUGUUGGUGGGGUAAUGGCCUACCAAGGCGGCGACGGGUAGCCGGCCUGAGAGGGUGGACGGCCACAUUGGGACUGAGACACGGCCCAGACUCCUACGGGAGGCAGCAGUGGGGAAUAUUGCACAAUGGGCGGAAGCCUGAUGCAGCGACGCCGCGUGGGGGAUGACGGCCUUCGGGUUGUAAACUCCUUUCACCAUCGACGAAGGUUUUCUGACGGUAGAUGGAGAAGAAGCACCGGCUAACUACGUGCCAGCAGCCGCGGUAAUACGUAGGGUGCGAGCGUUGUCCGGAAUUACUGGGCGUAAAGAGCUCGUAGGUGGUUUGUCGCGUCGUCUGUG
rnacentral:rRNA from 1 species